rnacentral:rRNA from 1 species
UACGAAGGGUACAAGCGUUGUUCGGAAUUACUGGGCGUAAAGCGCGCGUAGGCGGACGAGUCAGUCGAUUGUGAAAUCCCUGGGCUUAACCUGGGAACUGCAGUCGAUACUGCUUGUCUUGAGUGCCUGAGAGGAUGGCGGAAUUCCCGGUGUAGUAGUGAAAUACGUAGAUAUCGGGAAGAACACCUGAGGCGAAGGCGGCUAUCUGGCGGUGCACUGACGCUGAGGCGCGAAAGCGUGGGGAGCAAACCAGG